UACGGGGGGGGUAAGCGUUGUUCGGAAUUACUGGGCGUAAAGGGCGCGUAGGCGGCCUUCUAAGUCAGACGUGAAAUCCCUCGGCUCAACCGGGGAACUGCGUCUGAGACUGGAAGGCUUGAAUCCGGGAGAGGGAUGUGGAAUUCCAGGUGUAGCGGUGAAAUGCGUAGAUAUCUGGAGGAACACCGGUGGCGAAGGCGGCAUCCUGGACCGGUAUUGACGCUGAGGCGCGAAAGCCAGGGGAGCAAACGGG
rnacentral:rRNA from 1 species